UACGGAGGAUCCAAGCGUUAUCCGGAUUUAUUGGGUUUAAAGGGUGCGUAGGCGGAUAAAUAAGUCAGUGGUGAAAGCCUGCAGCUUAACUGUAGAAUUGCCAUUGAUACUGUUUAUCUUGAAUGUAGUUGAGGUGGGCGGAAUAUGACAUGUAGUGGUGAAAUACUUAGAUAUGUCAUAGAACACCGAUUGCGAAGGCAGCUCACUAAGCUACGAUUGACGCUGAGGCACGAAAGCGUGGGGAGCAAACAGGAUUAGAUACCCUGGUAGUCCACGCCCUAAACUAUGAUCACUCGAUGUUGGCGAUACACAGUCAGCGUCUAAGGGAAACCAUUAAGUGAUCCACCUGGGGAGUACGACCGCAAGGUUG
rnacentral:rRNA from 1 species